rnacentral:rRNA from 1 species
GACGAACGCUGGCGGCGUGCUUAACACAUGCAAGUCGAACGGAAAGGCCCUGCUUUUGUGGGGUGCUCGAGUGGCGAACGGGUGAGUAACACGUGAGUAACCUGCCCUUAACUUUGGGAUAACUUCAGGAAACUGGGGCUAAUACCGGAUAGGAGCUCCUGCUGCAUGGUGGGGGUUGGAAAGUUUCGGCGGUUGGGGAUGGACUCGCGGCUUAUCAGCUUGUUGGUGGGGUAGUGGCUUACCAAGGCUUUGACGGGUAGCCGGCCUGAGAGGGUGACCGGCCACAUUGGGACUGAGAUACGGCCCAGACUCCUACGGGAGGCAGCAGUGGGGAAUAUUGCACAAUGGGCGGAAGCCUGAUGCAGCAACGCCGCGUGCGGGAUGACGGCCUUCGGGUUGUAAACCGCUUUCGCCUGUGACGAAGCGUGAGUGUCGGUAAUGGGUAAAGAAGCACCGGCUAACUACGUG